rnacentral:rRNA from 1 species
AUCCCCGUGAAUACGCCCUCUAUCCCCCGCCCGGGGAUUAGGAGCGGGCAUCAGGCACAUAAAAUUUAGCCCAAGACGCCAAGCCAAGCCACACCCCCAAGGGAAUUCAGCAGUGAUAAACAUUAAGCCAUGAGUGAAAACUCGACUCAGUCAGGGUUAACAGGGCCGGUAAAACUCGUGCCAGCCACCGCGGUUAAACGAGAGGCCCCAGUUGAUAAUAUCACGGCGUAAAGGGUGGUUAAGGAUUGAAAUUUAAUAAAGCCAAAUAGCCCUUCGGCCGUCAUACGCUUCUAGGUGUUAGAAACCCAAUCUGCACGAAAGUAGCUUUAGCUAUAUCCACCUGACCCCACGAAAGCUGAGAAACAAACUGGGAUUAGAUACCCCACUAUGCUCAGCCAUAAACCCAGACAUUUAAGUACAAUCACAUGUCCGCCAGGGUACUACGAGCAUUAGCUUAAAACCCAAAGGACCUGACGGUGCCUCAGACCCCCCUAGAGGAGCCUGUUCUAGAACCGAUAACCCCCGUUAAACCUCACCACUUCUGGUCAUUCCA